rnacentral:rRNA from 1 species
GAUGAACGCUGGCGGCGUGCCUAAUACAUGCAAGUCGAGCGGACAGACGAGGAGCUUGCUGCUCUGACGAUAGCGGCGGACGGGUGAGUCACACGUGGAUAACCUACCUAUAAGACUGGGAUAACUUCGGGAAACCGGAGCUAAUACCGGAGAAUCUAUUGAACCGCGUGGUGCAAUAGUGAAAGACGGCUUUGGUGUCACUUAUAGAUGGAUCCGCGCCGCAUUAGCUAGUUGGUAAGGUAACGGCUUACCAAGGCAACUAUGCGUAGCCGACCUGAGAGAGGGAUAGGCCGCACUGGAGCUGAGACACGGUCCAGACUCCUACGAGAGGCAGCAGUAGCGAACGUUAGGCAAUGGGCGAAAGCCUGGCGGAGCAACGCCGAGUGAGUGAUGAAGGUCUUCGGAUCGUAAAACUCUGUUAUUAGGGAAGAACAAAUGUGUAAGUAACUAUGCACGUCUUGACGGUACCUAAUCAGAAAGCCACGGCUAACUACGUG